AUUGAACGCUGGCGGCAUGCCUUACACAUGCAAGUCGAACGGUAACAGGUCUUCGGAUGCUGACGAGUGGCGAACGGGUGAGUAAUACAUCGGAACGUGCCCGAUCGUGGGGGAUAACGAGGCGAAAGCUUUGCUAAUACCGCAUACGAUCUACGGAUGAAAGCGGGGGAUCUUCGGACCUCGCGCGGACGGAGCGGCCGAUGGCAGAUUAGGUAGUUGGUGGGAUAAAAGCUUACCAAGCCGACGAUCUGUAGCUGGUCUGAGAGGAUGAUCAGCCACACUGGGACUGAGACACGGCCCAGACUCCUACGGGAGGCAGCAGUGGGGAAUUUUGGACAAUGGGCGAAAGCCUGAUCCAGCCAUGCCGCGUGCAGGAUGAAGGCCUUCGGGUUGUAAAAUGCUUUUGUACGGAACGAAAAGCCUCUUUCUAAUAAAGAGGGGUCAUGACGGUACCGUAAGAAUAAGCACCGGCUAACUACGUG
rnacentral:rRNA from 1 species